UACAGAGGUCCCAAGCGUUGUUCGGAUUCACUGGGCGUAAAGGGUGCGUAGGUGGCGGGGUAAGUCGGAUGUGAAAUCUCCGAGCUCAACUCGGAAAUGGCAUUGGAAACUACCUUGCUCGAGGGUUGGAGGGGGGACUGGAAUACUUGGUGUAGCAGUGAAAUGCGUAGAGAUCCGGAGGAACACCAGAGGCGAAGGCGGCCGGCUGGACCUGACCUGACGCUGAGGCACGAAGGCGUGGGGAGCGAACGGG
rnacentral:rRNA from 1 species